CAAUCUUGUCUCUCAUUUAAAUAAAAAAUGAGGAAAAAAAACAAUUCUAUGGCUUGUGGCUGUAGUUUAGGUUCAGCAGGUGGGCAUUCCUUGGUGUCAUCUCUCAUGUUCAGAUAGGCAAACCCCAACAGGUAACAUGGCUUCUUUAGGCCCAGGCUCACGACUAGACCAUAACUGCUCGCCAUUCUAUUGGUUGGAGCAAGUCACGUGGCUGGCUCCACUUCCUCUACCUGUGACCAUUUUUACAACAUGGACCCCAAAGCCAGGCAGUGGUGGCACUCCGGAGGCAGACGCAGAUGGAGUUUCUGGAGAGAGCCUGAGAAUUUCACAGGUGUCCCCGUGCCCCUCAAACUUGCCCUGCCUUUCCAUCCUGCCUCAGGAAAGACUGGAAUAGAGAAGCCCAGUGGCUGUCCAGACCCAGCCAGGCGUCUUGGAGGGUUUCCCAGAGGAAGAGCUGUGACCACUAUCUAACCAGCAUCUACCGAGCAAGAACAGAAGGGGAGAUUCCCAGGAAGCCUCGGGGAUGGGGAGCACCAGGGACGUGGGGUGGGUGGGGCCACCACCCUUCGUCACUCAGUCACUCAGUCUGUAGGGAGGAAACGACUGGACAGCUGGUGGCCUGAAGGCCCUGGUUAGUCACCAAGGGCGUAGUCCUUCAAGAGUGUGUUUCAUAUCCUCUCUGGGCUUUCAGAAGAAAGGAAGCCGGGGAGAAAGGACACUGUCACUGGGAAGGAAUGUGGAGAGAGUGAGCGGGCUCCUCGGAGCCGGACGCCUUCCUGGAGGAUGGGCAGGGGAGCUGUUCUGGAACUUUCCUCCUCGGCUGCAGAAAAGAAGACAAAAGGUGUGUCCUGCGCCUGCCACCCGGGUCUCCACCCAUCCAUCCUCCCGACGGUGCCAAGGAGAGGGUCGGGAUUGUCACAGCUGUGUCCACACAGGAAAAAAUGAGAAAGUUGGCAGCAAGAAGGUUUCUUGCCCUGAGUGGGCCUCUCCUUCUUGCCUUCCUCUCAUUGUUUCAUUCUGGGACUGGUUCUCGAGCAGCCCAGGUUCAGGAUGGCUUGAACCCCUCAUCUUCCUGCCUCCACUUCCCAAGUGCUGGGUCUCCUCCAGAGCUUUGCAAGCCUCGGCAACCCAGCCCCAGCCCCAGCCUCCCUGGAUCUCUAUAGGGCCUACAGAAGCAGACCCUAACGCCGAGUGUCUAGCAAGGGGACACCGGGCACCAGGCACAAGCAGACAAAACGCUCAUGAGACUGACAAGAUACCUACGGAGCUAACAAGGCACCUACAAAACGCUCAAAGACCACAUAAGAAGUCGAUAAAAUCAUAGCAUGUGGAAGCCAGAGAACAGCUUGCUGGGUCAGGUCUCUCCAUUUGUCAUGUGGGUCCUGGGGAAUCAAACUCAGGCCUUCUGGUUGCUAGUGCCUUUACCCACCGAGUCAUCUCCUCAGCUCUUCCUGCCAUUUUAUUUUCUUUUUUGAAAAAAAAAAAAAAAAAAAAAAACGUUGUUUAAUGGUAAAACUUAGCACACUCCAGCACCAGGACUGGCAUGGAGUAGAAGCAGCAGAGAUGGCUGGCUGACUCCAUGGAGCCUCACACGGCCAAGAGGAUAAGGAAGGCCACCCUCAAACAGAAGAGCCCCAGCACUCGGGAGGCAGAGGCAGGCG
ensembl:lncRNA